UAAUUUGCAGAGGAUGCUUUUGGCGAGGUGCCUUCCGAGUUCCCUGGAACGGGACGCCAUAGAGGGUGAGAGCCCCGUCUGGUUGGACACCGAGCCUCUGUAAAGCUCCUUCGACGAGUCGAGUAGUUUGGGAAUGCUGCUCUAAAUGGGAGGUAUAUGUCUUCUAAAGCUAAAUACCGGCCAGAGACCGAUAGCGCACAAGUAGAGUGAUCGAAAGAUGAAAAGCACUUUGAAAAGAGGGUUAAACAGUACGUGAAAUUGUUGAAAGGGAAGCGCUUGUGACCAGACUUGGGCCCGGUGAAUCAUCCAGCGUUCUCGCUGGUGCACUUUGCCGGGCCCAGGCCAGCAUCAGUUUGCCUCGGGGGAUAAAGGCUCUGGGAAUGUGGCUCCUCCGGGAGUGUUAUAGCCCGUUGCAUAAUGCCCUGGGGCGGACUGAGGUUCGCGCAUCUGCAAGGAUGCUGGCGUAAUGGUCAUCAGCGGCCCGUCUUGAAACACGGACCAAGGAGUCGUCUUCGUAUGCGAGUGUUCGGGUGUAAAACCCCUACGCGGAAUGAAAGUGAACGCAGGUGAGAGCUUCGGCGCAUCAUCGACCGAUCCUGAUGUUCUCGGAUGGAUUUGAGUAAGAGCAUACGGGGCCGGACCCGAAAGAAGGUGAACUAUGCCUGUAUAGGGUGAAGCCAGAGGAAACUCUGGUGGAGGCUCGCAGCGGUUCUGACGUGCAAAUCGAUCGUCAAAUAUGGGCAU
rnacentral:rRNA from 1 species